AUUGAACGCUGGCGGUAGGCCUAACAUAUGCAAGUCGAGCGAGCGGCGGACGGGUGAGAAAUGUCUGGGAAACUGCCUGAUGGAGGGGGAUAACUACCGGAAACGGUAGCUAAUACCGCAUACCAUCAGUUGUGCCCAGAUGGGAUUAGCCAGUAGGUGGGGUAACGGCUCACCUAGCCGACGAUCCCUAGCUGGUCUGAGAGGAUGACCAGCCACACUGGAGCUGGGACACGGUCCAGCCUCCUACGGGAGACAGGAGUGGGGGAUAUUGCACAAUGGGCGCAAGCCUGAUGCAACCAUGCCACGUGUGUGAUGAAGGCCUUCGGGUUGUAAAGAACAUUCAGCAGGGAGGCGUUGCCCGCAGAAGAAGCACAGGCUAACUCCGUGCCAGCAGCCGCGGUAAUUC
rnacentral:rRNA from 1 species